rnacentral:lncRNA from 1 species
UCCUUUUCAUUUUGGGUUUUAUGCACUUUUGUUUCAAGCAUUUUAUUGUACGUUUUUCUCUUAUAUCAUAGAAUGAAAAUGGUGGGUGGAUCUCGUUGGUGAUGCAGCACUGAUGGUGGAGUAUCAAGGCUAGAAUGAAAAACGUUGUUGGAAGAAAGAAGUAGGAAAUUGAUUAGGUGGGAGUUGGUGGUGGCAGCUGUCACGUCCUUGGAGAAGAUUUAAUUUUGUCAUUGGCUUGCUUUCAUCUUUGCUGAAUGAGUUAGUGAAUUAUGCAAAUCUGGAAUUUUCUUUAAGAAGGUUGGGAGUGGAUGGAAGAGAGAAGAAUGAAAGGAGGAAGAAGGAAGAGGAAAAUGGUGUGGGAGGAAGAGAGUGACACGAUUCACUUCCAACAGUAACACGUUGAAACCAUUUAACACAUCAGCCCACCACCUAUGCAGAAAGUUAACUCCGUUAACGAAAUUUGACGGCAGGGGCUUAAUUGGUUGAAAUUAGCAGUUAUAAGAACUCAAAUGGGGAACUUUAAAAGAAAAGGACCAAAUUGGGAAAACCCAACGAAAAUAGGGACUCCUCAAUGGUUUAAACCAUAAAUAUAACCUUUUGAGUGGGAGUAAAAAUGGUUGAACUUUGUUUUCGAAGUUUUUUUUUUCAAAAAAAAAAAAAACAUUUUUUAAACUCAAACUUAUACUCACUUUAGGUUUAGUCAAUGGAUAUAACAGUUAUUAACCAAAAUGUGAAUGGAUUAGUAAUUUUUUUUUGUCAUAUGUGAUUUUUCUCCAUGAAUAU